rnacentral:rRNA from 1 species
AUUGAACGCUGGCGGCAUGCCUUACACAUGCAAGUCGAACGGCAGCACGGGAGCAAUCCUGGUGGCGAGUGGCGAACGGGUGAGUAAAGUAUCGGAACGUGCCCAGUCGUGGGGGAUAACGUAGCGAAAGUUACGCUAAUACCGCAUACGAUCUAUGGAUGAAAGCGGGGGAUCGCAAGACCUCGCGCGCUUGGAACGGCCGAUAUCAGAUUAGGUAGUUGGUGGGGUAAAGGCUCACCAAGCCGACGAUCUGGAGCUGGUCUGAGAGGACGACCAGCCACGCUGGGACUGAGACACGGCCCAGACUCCUACGGGAGGCAGCAGUGGGGAAUUUUGGACAAUGGGCGAAAGCCUGAUCCAGCCAUGCCGCGUGCAGGAUGAAGGCCUUCGGGUUGUGAACUGCUUUUGUACGGAACGAAAAGGUUUGGGCUAAUAAGCUGAGCUCAUGACGGUACCGUAAGAAUAAGCACCGGCUAACUACGUGCCAGCCGCCGCCGUAA